rnacentral:rRNA from 1 species
GAUGAACGCUGGCGGCGUGCCUAAUACAUGCAAGUCGAGCGAACAGAUGAGGAGCUUGCUCCUCUGACGUUAGCGGCGGACGGGUGAGUAACACGUGGAUAACCUACCUAUAAGACUGGGAUAACUUCGGGAAACCGGAGCUAAUACCGGAUAAUAUAUUGAACCGCAUGGUUCAAUAGUGAAAGACGGUUUUGCUGUCACUUAUAGAUGGAUCCGCGCCGCAUUAGCUAGUUGGUAAGGUAACGGCUUACCAAGGCGACGAUGCGUAGCCGACCUGAGAGGGUGAUCGGCCACACUGGAACUGAGACACGGUCCAGACUCCUACGGGAGGCAGCAGUAGGGAAUCUUCCGCAAUGGGCGAAAGCUUGACGGAGCAACGCCGCGUGAGUGAUGAAGGUCUUCGGAUCGUAAAGCUCUGUUAUUAGGGAAGAACAAAUGUGUAAGUAACUAUGCACGUCUUGAUGGUACCUAAUCAGAAAGCCACGGCUAACUACGUG